rnacentral:rRNA from 1 species
GACGAACGCUGGCGGCGUGCUUAACACAUGCAAGUCGAACGGAAAGGCCCUGCUUUUGUGGGGUGCUCGAGUGGCGAACGGGUGAGUAACACGUGAGUAACCUGCCCCUGACUUUGGGAUAACUUCAGGAAACUGGGGCUAAUACCGGAUAGGAGCUCCUGCUGCAUGGUGGGGGUUGGAAAGUUUCGGCGGUUGGGGAUGGACUCGCGGCUUAUCAGCUUGUUGGUGGGGUAGUGGCUUACCAAGGCUUUGACGGGUAGCCGGCCUGAGAGGGUGACCGGCCACAUUGGGACUGAGAUACGGCCCAGACUCCUACGGGAGGCAGCAGUGGGGAAUAUUGCACAAUGGGCAGAAGCCUGAUGCAGCAACGCCGCGUGCGGGAUGACGGCCUUCGGGUUGUAAACCGCUUUCGCCUGUGACGAAGCGUGAGUGACGGUAAUGGGUAAAGAAGCACCGGCUAACUACGUG